UGGGGAAUAUUGGGCAAUGGGCGCAAGCCUGACCCAGCAACGCCGCGUGAAGGAAGAAGGCUUUCGGGUUGUAAACUUCUUUUAUUGAGGACGAAACAAAUGACGGUACUCAAUGAAUAAGCCACGGCUAACUACGUGCCAGCAGCCGCGGUAAUACGUAGGUGGCGAGCGUUAUCCGGAUUUACUGGGUGUAAAGGGCGUGUAGGCGGGACUGCAAGUCAGAUGUGAAAACCAUGGGCUCAACCCAUGGCCUGCAUUUGAAACUGUAGUUCUUGAGUGAUGGAGAGGCAGGCGGAAUUCCGUGUGUAGCGGUGAAAUGCGUAGAUAUACGGAGGAACACCAGUGGCGAAGGCGGCCUGCUGGACAUUAACUGACGCUGAGGCGCGAAAGCGUGGGGAGCAAACAGGAUUAGAUACCC
rnacentral:rRNA from 1 species